CGAUACUCUCAGUAACCCAAUCCCCAAUUCGAGCUCAACCGAAAGACUUUACUAUCGACAAAGUCCACGGGGUCCAGUAUUUUUGAGAGAUCGUAUCCCAACCGAUUGUUCUACUGAAGGGACAUGAAUCCCUUCUGAAUGGAGCUCGGUAUCUUCUAGGAAUCUUCUGAAUGGUUCUACUGAUUUUGGUGCUUGAAUCCUUUUCAAAUCGUUCGUUGUCAUUUAUUAAACUCAAUUUCUUUAUUCCCUUAGGAUGCAUGUUUCUCUAUUUCAAUUCUUAGUUUGAUAACUUUGUCUAUGGUGUUUCUACUUUUAAUAAUCAUAUUAUGGUAUUUACCCAGAUUCGUGUGGAUAUAUUCAUUUCUAGCCAGACUUAUGUAGAUAUUGCUUCCAUUUGCGUUGUACCAAC
rnacentral:lncRNA from 1 species